UUCACUAAACUCGCUCACGCGGUUUCCUGGGUAACGGUGUGUAUGGCAACCAGUGUAAACAAGGCGCCCUACGACAUUGAAGAUAAGACGAAACAAAACAGCAAUGGCUUUCUGCAACACUGAGUAUUUCGACCACAUUGGGAAUAUUCAAAAGAGCAUACACCAACGGGAAAGGAGAAGACAUGAGCUGGAAGAAAAACUGUUUGCUUACUUAAGAUCAGAAGAAAAACGAACUAAGCUGAAGUGUGCCAAGAUGCGCUGCUAUUACAAGGAGCUGCAUGAGAGAGAGCAGCGAGCAAAGACACGCAACCUUGAGCUUCUUGGGAAUGUGGAGAGCUUGGCAUUAGAAUUGAAAGAAUUCUCCAUUGAUUGCAGCAGGCUGCUUCAAAAGAGGUUGGAGUACAAGAAUCAUAUUACCAGACUGAAGAAAGACAGAAAGAAAAUGAAGAGCAGGGGGGAAUCAGAAGCGGAUGAGCACCCGGGAAGUUUCCUCCUUUCCAGCAAAUGGGGAUCACCGCAGAGUGCUGUCAUCUUUACGGGUAACCAGACUUCCAACGGCUCAUCAAGACAUGAUGCCGUCACAACCACACACUCACCAUCUCAGACCGAGCUGAUACCUAAUCACCCUUCACUCUCUCCUCAACAAAGUGGCCUUUUGAUGCACCCCCAUGUUUCAAAAGCCAGCGGCGCUACCGUCAUAUCUGAUGACAUUCUAAACUCGGGUGAUUUCCUUGAGGGCGGUCGUGUGAGUGACAUGCAUGAACAACAGAUGGAGUCUGAUUGGGACAUUUCUCAGAGAGCAGGACAGCAGCAUAGAUGGGAGAAACUAGACUCACCUCACACAGCCUUGAAGGAAACUGAAGUGUCCUCUCGAUCUGUGACUGUGAAGAGGCUUGCAGCCAUUGUGUCACUAGAGUGGUGUCCGACCCACAGUCCUUCUCCAGUCACCACUGAUCGAAAAGAUUUCUUACAGUACAGAAAUUCUGGAGAUGAGGAUGUGGUAGUUUCUGCAGAGGAUGAAGGUGACUCAGUGCUGAAACGUCAAGAUCUUACAGAUCACUCUAAAAGCAGAUGUUGCAGCAUUCCUAGUCCAGCUUUUGAAAUUAAACCAGAGCUCUCAGUGCAUACCGACAGUGAUAUUUCAGUUUUACCAAGUCAGUUUUACCAUGGUCAUCACAUCUGGAGAGGAGAUGUUGUAAUUCAAGGGCAAAAUGAAAUACCCAUUCAAGUCAACAGUGGCACACAGGAGAACGCUGACUCAGAACAGUCUGCAAGACCUGACUCUCCCGAAACCCUCAACAGGCUCUCCAUGGAAGGAUUGUGUCAUCUUCUAGACUACAUCGAGCAACGUCUCAGCGCUAAAGAUAUAUGGCUCUACCGAAGCAGUACAAUCAGUGAGCAGAAACUCAGAGAUAUCAUCAGUAUAUGUAGUCAGCGUGGGAGUCUGGACAGUGUGGAUCUGCAAGCAUGUUGUGCUGUGGUUCUGCAGCAGUUGCCCCUGCUGUCCUGCAGUCUGUCUCAGGGAUGCCUGUUACCCAAGGAUCUUAUCAACACUCACUGGUCAUCAGCAACAAAGCCAGAUCAGAUCAGGUCGUGUCUGUCAGCUUACAGUGCUCUGCUGUGGGACCGCUGUUUCAGACACAUCCUUCAGCUGCAGCGACAGGAAAUCCUCAGCAUAGACCUCAUCGUUCAGCUCUUUGCUCCACUCCUGGUGCUCAACAGUGCCACCUACAACGACAAGGCAGGAGAGCUGUUGAAGAGGCUUCUGACUUAUGAAUCUGAAAUCCAUCAAUCUUCAGAUAGUGAAGAGUCGUCGUCAUGCAGCUUGCCCUCACUUCUGGAUGACAGUGUGGAAAUCAAGCCCGCCAGGCCUUCUAAUAAAUAUCCUCAAGCCAUUCGAACACAAGGAAUUCAAAGUGCUGAAGAGGACAGUGCCGACCAAAGCCCAGUGGAAAGUAUUCCUAUUAGAGGUAAAAAGGCAGAUCGAAGAAUCGCCCAUUCGGGAGUUCUUCUGUGCCCGUUUUGUCUUUCUCCUCAUGCAGUAGAUAAUGGGGAUCCCUUUUUUGCCCGACUGGAUAGCUGUGAAAGGAUGAUCAAGGUAUGGGUGAAACUGAGAUUCUCAGAGCGUAUAAUGCGGAGGUUUAAUUGUCCAUCAGCCAGGUCGGGGGUGCCGGGCAAGAUCUGUCAUUGGUUCUCAUUAUCUGCUAAACAAUGCCAGCCAGAGGUAGACUUGAAAAGACUGGAUGUCGAGGCAUCCUUUGAAAAGACUUGGGUAGCGAGUCUCAGCAUCAGCUCAGAAAUGUAAAACUAUCCAUUAUUCCACUUGGCUAUCUGAUUUCAAACUGUGCCUUUCAUGCACAGGGCUAGCCCGAGAGCGCCACAGAGCGAGAAGUCCCAGCUUCUCACUGCAACUAAUCAAAGGCAUUAUGGCAGUAGGAAUCCGCCUCUGCUGUCCCUGGUUGCUGUUUACAGGUGGCUAAUGAAGACUGUGUUGAGUUCUGUUGCCUUUCACAUUACAUCACUUUGCAAUGACCAGUGGAAGCAUCGUCCAAGCGUCGUCCUUAUAUCUGUCCAUAUCGGUAAACCAGUGAGCACAAAUGCAUUUUAUGGAUAUGGCAAACGAAAAGGAAUUCUUUAGAUGCUCUUUGUACAUAAUACUAAUGCCUGUUUUUUGCCGUCAUUAUAGCAGGUAAUACAAGUAAAAAGAACAAGUUUGUUGCAGCCAUAUGAUAAAUGUCAGGAUAAUGAGAUGUUGCAGUGUAAUUUAUCUUCACUUUAAGCUUUGGGGACUUAACCACUUUGCAGUUUGUAUUUGUGUGUUUUUUUUUUAUUUUUUAUCCUUUUUGCUUGCUGUCAACAACAUUUCAUCAUUUAAAACUCACAUUUAUUUUACAAGGCUCUUUUUUUUUUCUUUUCUUUUGGUCCUUUUCAAAAAGUAUUUUAUUCUUGAAUGCUCACUGGUUAAAGAUCUCAAAUUUGAAAGUUUAUAGAACAUGAAAGAAAGAAUCCUAUAAAAUGGUGCGGCAACACAAAAGCCGGUAGGUUCUUUUUUCCGGAGACGGUGGCCUGUCAGGCAUCAGGAUUUGAUCAAUAGUUUAGUGCUCACUCACUCUGUUUUUCACCAUCUCUCUUUGCUCAUCAGAGACCUUAAAGAGCUGCUGUUGGUUCAUCAAACAUCAGACCUCUGGAAAGUUGGAAGUUGAGGUCUUUAGCAAAUAUUUUACUAGCUGCUUUAAAAUGUUGUAUUUUUUCUGUCUCACUUUUCUGUAGAGACCAAAGCAUAUCAGCUGCUUAAACAGUCUGUUGCACAAGAGAGGCACUGGAGUGACUCAAAGGAGGAGGACUCAGAGCCAUCAGACAUCAUCAAAUUGGAGAGAACUGAGGCGCUCUGGGACUCUUUUACACAUAAUAGUCA